CCCUUAGAUGUUCUGGGCCGCACGCGCGCUACACUGAUCAGUGCAACAAGCAUCCGUCCUUGGCCGACAGGCCCGGGCAAUCUUUGAACGCUGAUCGUGAUGGGGAUAGACUUUUGCAAUUUUUGGUCUUCAACGAGGAAUUCCUAGUAAACGCAAGUCAUCAACUUGCAUUGAUUACGUCCCUGCCCUUUGUACACACCGCCCGUCGCACCUACCGAUUGAAUGGUCCGGUGAAGCCUCCGGAUUGGCGUGCACCCUCGGGUGCUGCCGAGAAGUUGGCUAAACCUUACCAUUUAGAGGAAGGUGGAGUCGUANCA
rnacentral:rRNA from 1 species